UUGGGGUAGCCUAUUUCUCUACCUAUCGUUUAAUCUCAGAGGCGCCUUUGGCACUUUCAUUUCUCAGCUCCGGUGACACUGAAAGGGAAGAGGCAGGGGAGCUGUGGAACACCUGGACUGGAUGCAAAGAUUGGGCUCAGCCUUCCCUAACGCCACGGCAGCAGCACGACUCUCGGAGCCCUGCUGCCCGGCUCUGCUGCCGAGCCUCAGCAACUUUCAAAUGGCAGAUCUUCAGAUUGGAGACCGGCUGGUGGAUGGAGAAUUUUCCCGUCCUAACUGCUUCCCCUCCAGGAGUUGCUGAUCCCAAUCAAGCAAACCACAUUGUGGCUUAGUGCCACGGCUGAACAAGGCUCUUCUUUAACAGCAAAGCUGCCAGGCUGCACUGGCACCUCUUGUAGGAAGAGGGCUUGCCUGGGGGCUGGAGUUCAGUUGAGAGCCCAAACGGAGCAUGGUGCGGAGAUACGGACGCAGUCUAUGGCAGCCCAGGAGCCCGCAGACCGAGGAGGUUAAUGGCCUGGUCCGAGUCAGAGCUGAGAUUCAGAAGGCAGAGCGGGAAGCAGGGUGCAGGAACGUGGAUCCGAGGCCGGCCCGGGGACUGCAGUCGUCCGAACCUGCUGCGAGUCCUGCUGCAGCCUGGGCAAGAGCGGUGGUGCCGCGUUUGCUGCCAGAGAGACGCUUGCCAGUGGCAGGCAGGCUGCUGAAGGCCUGGUAAGCAAGACCGCCCUGGUGGGCUUUAGCCUGGCACGACCCUGCCUGCCGAGCCGAGGGGUCUGGGGUGUGAAACUCUGGCCGGACCUCCGGCCUUCCAGAUGGGGCUGCCGUUUCUUCCCUCCGCCUGCUCGGGCGGGGCCGAUGGGAGCUCCAGUACUAACCCGGCCGAGGCGGCAG